rnacentral:rRNA from 1 species
UGGUGGGUUGCCUUGUCAGGUUGAUUCCGGUAACGAACGAGACCUCAGCCUGCUAAAUAGUCACGGUUACUUUUGUAGCCGCCGGACUUCUUAGAGGGACUAUUGGCGUUUAGCCAAUGGAAGUGUGAGGCAAUAACA